CAGAGGGUAGUUUAAUUUAGAAUUCUAGCUUUGGGGGCUAGUGGUGGGAGUUAAAAUCUCUUCUCUCUGA
rnacentral:tRNA from 1 species